GACGAACGCUGGCGGCGUGCUUAACACAUGCAAGUCGAACGGAAAGGCCCUGCGUUUGUGGGGUGCUCGUUUGGCGAACGGGUGUGUAACACGUGAGUAACCUCCCCUUGACUUUGGGAUAACUUCAGGAAACUGGGGCGAAUACCGGAUAGGAGCUCCUGCUGCAUGGGGGGGGAUGGAGAGUUUCGGCGGUUGUGGAUGGACUCGCGGCAUAUCAGCUUGUUGGGGGGGUAGUGGCUUACCAAGGCUUUGAGGGGUAGCCGGCCUGAGAGGGUGACCGGCCACAUUGGGACUGAGGUACGGCCCAGACUCCUACGGGAGGCAGCAGGGGGGAAUAUUGCCCAAUGGGCGGAAGCCUGAUGCAGCAACGCCGCGUGCGGGAAGACGGCCUUCGGGUUGUAAACCGAUUUCGCCUGUGACGAAGCGUGAGUGACGGUAAUGGGUAAAGAAGCACCGGCUAACUACGUG
rnacentral:rRNA from 1 species